rnacentral:rRNA from 1 species
UACGUAGGGUGCGAGCGUUAAUCGGAAUUACUGGGCGUAAAGGGUGCGCAGGCGGUUGAAUAAGUCUGACGUGAAAGUCCUGGGCUUAACCUGGGGAUUGCGUUGGAGACUGUUUGGCUAGAGUGUGUCAGAGGGGGGUAGAAUUCCACGUGUAGCAGUGAAAUGCGUAGAGAUGUGGAGGAACACCGAUGGCGAAGGCAGCCUCCUGGGAUAACACUGACGCUCAGGCACGAAAGCGUGGGGAGCAAACAGG